AUUUUUGAUCUAAAAUUCAAAAUUAAUAUUUGAGCACUGAUUAUAAUUUUUCCUCCUCAGUGAAAGCAUUUCAUAUCAAAUGGGACGAAAUGAGAUUAGAUUCCAAUGUAGCAAAGUGGGCGGUGCAUGUCAUUCAGUUGAGUAAACAGAAACGUCACUUGGAUCAUGCAAAUCUCUUAAAAUUUUGGGAAGUUUUAGACAGUUUUAUGGUGAAACAUAAACAUCACUUGCGUUUCUAAUUACUUUUGGUUCAAAUAUAAAAGUGUUCUCGACCAAUCUGACCAACAGGACUGUAGAGCGCAUGCAAAAAUUUCCAUCUUUUUAUCUGUUUUAUAACAGAAAUUGAGUCGUGCAGAUCGGGCAUGUUUGACAAAAGAAAUUAUUUUAAAUCUUGGAUUUAAAUCACAUUACCGUGUAAUUGUUGUACAGUUUUUUAAAAACAUAAAAUUGUCAUUUUUUGAGGCGGUAUUAUGUCAUUACAUAGUGCUGAUAUGCUCUUUGUAUGAAAUUUGUAUUAGUAUAGUUCUUCCAUGGAUCUGAUUUGUCAUAAUUAUCAAUUCUGCACCAACAAAAAUCAUCGUCAUGUAAGGAAUGUUUUUUUUCCCUCCCCACUUAUUAGCAUCACAUUUUAGGGAAACAAAUCUAAUUGUAAAUAAUUGAUAACACUACAAAAGAUAUUUGGGGAAUAAAGAAAAGGACUAUAUACAACUGUAAAUAAAAUGUUGCUAGAUUAUUGUUAACACAAUUGUCUUCUAGCUUUUAUAAAUUUAUGAUUUAAUUAAAUUAGUUUUGAAAUGAA